rnacentral:snoRNA from 1 species
UUGUAUCUAUUAUAGACCUGGAUCAGUCUGUUGCUAAGGUUUCUACUACAGAUGCAAGAGAAAAGUGUUCUGGUACUUCCUGUUUAAUUGUGCCAGCCAAGAUUAAAUGGAGGAAUACAGGG